rnacentral:rRNA from 1 species
GAUGAACGCUAGCGGCAGGCCUAACACAUGCAAGUCGAGGGGUAGAAAUAGCUUGCUAUUUGAGACCGGCGCACGGGUGCGUAACGCGUAUGCAAUCUGCCUUGUACUGGGGGAUAGCCCGGAGAAAUCCGGAUUAAUACCCCAUAGUAUAUAAGAGUGGCAUCAUUUUUAUAUUAAAGAAUUUCGGUACAAGAUGAGCAUGCGUCCCAUUAGCUAGUUGGUAUGGUAACGGCAUACCAAGGCUUUGAUGGGUAGGGGUCCUGAGAGGGAGGUCCCCCACACUGGUACUGAGACACGGACCAGACUCCUACGGGGAGGCAGCAGUGAGGAAUAUUGGUCAAUGGACGCAAGUCUGAACCAGCCAUGCCGCGUGCAGGAUGACGGUCCUAUGGAUUGUAAA